rnacentral:rRNA from 1 species
UACGGAGGGGGCUAGCGUUGUUCGGAAUUACUGGGCGUAAAGCGCGCGUAGGCGGCUUUGUAAGUUAGAGGUGAAAGCCCGGAGCUCAACUCCGGAAUUGCCUUUAAGACUGCAUCGCUAGAAUCAUGGAGAGGUUAGUGGAAUUCCGAGUGUAGAGGUGAAAUUCGUAGAUAUUCGGAAGAACACCAGUGGCGAAGGCGACUAACUGGACAUGUAUUGACGCUGAGGCUCGAAAGCAUGGGGAGCAAACAGG